GACGAACGCUGGCGGCGUGCUUGACACAUGCAAGUCGAACGGAAAGGCCCUGCUUUUGUGGGGUGCUCGAGUGGCGAACGGGUGAGUAACACGUGAGUAACCUGCCCUUGACUUUGGGAUAACUUCAGGAAACUGGGGCUAAUACCGGAUAGGAGCUCCUGCUGCAUGGUGGGGGUUGGAAAGUUUCGGCGGUUGGGGAUGGACUCGCGGCUUAUCAGCUUGUUGGUGGGGUAGUGGCUUACCAAGGCUUUGACGGGUAGCCGGCCUGAGAGGGUGACCGGCCACAUUGGGACUGAGAUACGGCCCAGACUCCUACGGGAGGCAGCAGUGGGGAAUAUUGCACAAUGGGCGGAAGCCUGAUGCAGCAACGCCGCGUGCGGGAUGACGGCCUUCGGGUUAUAAACCGCUUUCGCCUGUGACGAAGCGUGAGUGACGGUAAUGGGUAAAGAAGCACCGGCUAACUACGUG
rnacentral:rRNA from 1 species